AAUGGCGAAAAGAAAAUAAUUGCCAAUAAUAAAUUAUAAUGGGCUGAUACCAAGUCUAAUUAAGAUGAAGGGAGCAAUAAAUUGGUGACUGUGAUAGG
rnacentral:sRNA from 1 species